AGAGGGUGACACUCCCGUCCGCCUGGCAGAGUGAGUCAUUUGUCAACGAGUCGAGUUGUUUGGGAUUGCAGCUCUAAUUUGGUGGUAAAUUCCAUCUAAAGCUAAAUAUUGGUGGGAGACCGAUAGCGUACAAGUACCGUGAGGGAAAGAUGCAAAGAACUUUGAAAAGAGAGUUAAAGAGUACCUGAAACUGCUGAAACGGAAGCGAAGGAAACCAGUGUUUGUUUGUUCAUAUUUCCCUAGCCACUUGUGGCUUGGGCGCUGUGGGCUUGCGUGAGUUUGGGUUGGUUGAUUCCUUUGGAAGAGCGCAGUCAGAGUUGAUGUCCU
rnacentral:rRNA from 1 species